AAGGUGKSACWCUCGSGKGACAUCAUCCCGUCUGUCUGUGUGCGAURACUACGUAAAAAUGUAGCUAAGAGGGGACAGAAUAAGACGCAGGACUAUCAGUUAGUUGGUAGUGUAAUGGACUACCAAGACGAUGACGGUUGACGGGGAAUCAGGGUUCUGUACCGGAGAGGGAGCCUGAGAGAUUGCUCCCACGUCCAAGGACGGCAGCAGGCGCGAAAAUUGCCCACUGUUUGUAGGAGRCAGUUAUGAGACGUGAAGAUGAGUGCUUGGCAAAGAGAAGCAGGAGAAUUGGAGGGCAAGUUUGGUGCCAGCAGCCGCGGUAAUACCGACUCCAAGAGUGUGUGUGAGAGAUGCUGCAGUUAAAAAGUCCGUAGUCGUAGAAACGUAAACAGAGACUGGGUCUCUAGCAGAAGUGAUGGAAAAGCCAAUGGGGAACAUAGUAUACCAGGGCGAGAGAUGAAAUGUCAAGACCCCUGGUGGACUCAGCGAGGCGAAAGCGAUGUUCUUGUGGGAGUUUUGUGAUCAAGGACGAAGGGUGGAGGAUCGAAAGUGAUUAGAUACCGCAGUAGUUCCAGCAGUAUUUAAAGAUGCSCACGACAUGUCUGGUCMGGCAACAGUGGACAGGGAGAAAUCUUACCCSUCGGGCCCCCUGUUKRUUUUKCCCG
rnacentral:rRNA from 1 species